rnacentral:rRNA from 1 species
UACGUAGGGUGCGAGCGUUGUCCGGAAUUAUUGGGCGUAAAGGGCUCGUAGGCGGUUUGUCGCGUCUGCCGUGAAAGCCCGGGGCUUAACUCCGGGUCUGCGGUGGAUACGGGCAGGCUAGAGUCCGGCAGGGGAGACUGGAAUUCCUGGUGUAGCGGUGAAAUGCGCAGAUAUCAGGAGGAACACCGGUGGCGAAGGCGGGUCUCUGGGCCGGUACUGACGCUGAGGAGCGAAAGCGUGGGGAGCGAACAGGAUUAGAUACCCCGGUAGUCCCUGAGCGGGCU